rnacentral:lncRNA from 1 species
UAGGAUUUAACAAAAUUUGAGUUGUCAUCCUUGGCAUUAUUGGUUGCCUUAUUUCUAAGUUAGAUGCUAGCACUCCAACCUCUAACCAUCUUCAGAUGGUGUAUCCCUACACAAUGCAAGAACUGGCCAUACUACUACUACUCCAGCAUAGUGACUAGGUGAUGGUGGGACAGCUCGUUAGUCGGACUGGAGUGGUGAUCUUUCACACUUUUGAAGACCCUAUUUUAUGAUUUGGUUUCCCUAUAUCUUAUACUCUUCUUAAAUCUAGUUUGGAUAUUAUCGGGGGCAUGUCUCAACACAUUUUUUGUACUUAAUUUUUGAUAGCCCA